AACGAACGCUGGCGGCAUGCCUAACACAUGCAAGUCGAACGAGACCUUCGGGUCUAGUGGCGCACGGGUGCGUAACGCGUGGGAACCUGCCCUUAGGUUCGGAAUAACUCCCCGAAAGGGGUGCUAAUACCGGAUAAUGUCUUCGGACCAAAGAUUUAUCGCCUUUGGAUGGGCCCGCGUUGGAUUAGCUAGUUGGUAGGGUAAAAGCCUACCAAGGCGACGAUCCAUAGCUGGUCUGAGAGGAUGAUCAGCCACACUGGGACUGAGACACGGCCCAGACUCCUACGGGAGGCAGCAGGGGGGAAUAUUGGACAAUGGGCGAAAGCCUGAUCCAGCAAUGCCGCGUGAGUGAUGAAGGCCUUAGGGUUGUAAAGCUCUUUUAACCGGGAUGAUAAUGACAGUACCGGGAGAAUAAGCGCCGGCUAACUCCGUG
rnacentral:rRNA from 1 species